rnacentral:rRNA from 1 species
GACGUAGGGCGCGAGCGUUGUCCGGAUUUAUUGGGCGUAAAGAGCUCGUAGGCGGCUUGUUGCGUCGACCGUGAAAACUUGGGGCUUAACCUUAAGCUUGCGGUUGAUACGGGCAGGCUAGAGUUCGGUAGGGGAGACUGGAAUUCCUGGUGUAGCGGUGAAAUGCGCAGAUAUCAGGAGGAACACCGGUGGCGAAGGCGGUUCUCUGGGAAUAUCCUGACGCUGAGGAGCGAAAGUGUGGGGAGCGAACAGG